AUGGAAAAAUUUCAACAUGUUGAAGUGCAUCAUGUCCCGCGAAGUAGGAAUGCGCCUACUGAUGCCUUGGCAAAACUAGCAGCGGCAUUGGUGCUUCCAGAUAAUAAAACAAUGCAGGUGAACAUGGAAGAAAGGUGGAUACUCCCGGCUGUCUUGGAGCUCAUCCUGGCAGAGUACAAAGUCAAUACCGUCAUGACGAAUGCCGUAGAGGAGGGCAAGUGGUUUCAACCCUUCCUCGACUACUUCAAGCAUGGGAGCCUCCCCGAUGACCCCGUCUCGAGGCGCCAACUACAACGAUGA
rnacentral:rRNA from 1 species